rnacentral:rRNA from 1 species
GACGAACGCUGGCGGCGUGCUUAACACAUGCAAGUCGAACGGAAAGGCCCUGCUUUUGUGGGGUGCUCGAGUGGCGAACGGGUGAGUAACACGUGAGUAACCUGCCCUUGACUUUGGGAUAACUUCAGGAAACUGGGGCUAAUACCGGAUAGGAGCUCCUGCUGCAUGGUGGGGGUUGGAAAGUUUCGGCGGUUGGGGAUGGACUCGCGGCUUAUCAGCUUGUUGGUGGGGUAGUGGCUUACCAAGGCUUUGACGGGUAGCCGGCCUGAGAGGGUGACCGGCGACAUGGGGACUGAGAUACGGCCCAGACUCCUACGGGAGGCAGAAGUGGGGAAUAUUGCACAAUGGGCGGAAGCCUGAUGCAGAAACGCCGCGUGCGGGAUGACGGCCUUCGGGUUGUAAACCGCUUUCGCCUGUGACGAAGCGUGAGUGACGGUAAUGGGUAAAGAAGCACCGGCUAACUACGUG